AGCGCUCACCUGUCCUCCUCAACCCGCGCUCCUUCCUCUCCCAUGGGGAGGAGCGCCGGCGCGAGGAAGAUUCUCGAGCACGGUCCAUUCUGCCGGGACCUUCCCAUCGGAGCUGCGCGGGGUAUGAGAGGCGGGCCCGGGCGCGUUUCCAGAUCCCCCAGUCCUCAAGGAACCCGCGCUCCAGUCGGUCCCCCUCUCGGUGCUCCUUGUCUCCCACCCAUCGGUCGCGCUCCCUGGACCGGCGGGUGGACGAUCUCCACCGACAACU
rnacentral:lncRNA from 1 species